UCAUGACCUGAGCCGAAGGCAGAUGCUUAACAACUGACCCACCCAGGCGCCCAAACCUCGAUUUUAAUGUGGGUCGGUGCUGGUUGGUUCGCCCAGGCCUUAGAACAGGAGAAGCAGCAUUUCCUAGGUGUGAGACCCAAAAUGAGAUAUGAAAGUCCUAGUUCAGGAAAGCCCAGGGUUUAUUAAAUAAGUAAUCUGCCUUUGUGUGGUAGUUCAUAACAUGAUUUUUGGUCAUGAACCCUUUUGAGGUAUCUGAAAAAAGUUGAGGAUCCAUCCCCAAGAAAAAUGCACGUACACACAAAAUUUAACACCCUAUUUCAGGACUUCACUGAUGUUCUGCCUCCCCCGAAUGCCAUCAUGAAUCCUUGUUUAGGGCACUAGUCUCUCUAAUAGAGGGUAGGAAUGGGCAUGCCGGUGGUGUGUAAAAUGAUCUAUUGGAAUAUGGAAUUUCCUGUUUGUAUUUAUUUUCUCUCUUUUAAAGGCUUUUUUUCCCCCAUGUAGGUUUUACACUGCACAUCGUAUAUUAGCACUGUAGUACCUAGUAUGUGCAUAACAUUUAUAUAUAAAUAGAGUAACAAAAUUAAUUAUAAGGGCUCACAUUUUUUACUGAUGGGGAGGCAUGACUCAAAAUUGAUUGAUUACCAAUUUGAAGAGUGGUGCUAACUGAAUUUAAAUUUUCGACUCUGCUCCCCGUACAUUGGAGGGCCAAGGGUAGGAGAUUAACUCAAAAGGUGACUGGAAAUUUUGGACCUAAUGAUGGUACGUAACAUUUGCCCCCACUUCACGAAGCAAUUCGCAUCUGCCCCAUUUGGUCCUCCCGGUGGUACCGUGGGCUAGAGGUAGAGCAGACGCGCUAAUGGAAAUCUCUGAGAGCAGGCAUGUUCUCCAAAUUCUUACAGAUCUUAAGAGACUUUCCCACGUGCCCUUGGCCAGUUGGUGGUAGCGGUGGUGCACAUAACCUCGGCUGCUGACCACAAAUUAUGUGCUUAUUUGGCCCAACAGUGGGGAUAAGUCAAUCGUUAUGGGCUGUCGAUGGCCUCAAAGCUGCUGUUACCACCGUUCCCUGUGGACACUGAGUUGUUGAGUCCCUGGCUGAUCCAGGCACGGGGACAGAAAGCACAUUUUAGCUACUUGAUCAGAGGGCCAGGAAGCCGAGCUAACAAUUCAGCAUUAGCUCUCUCCUGUUGGUACUGUAAUACCAACAUAUUUCAAAACAGAUAGAGGGCUCUGGAAGGGUUUAGAUACAUCUAUGUACAAAAAAGAUUUACAAUGGGUUAUUAAAUGGGAGUUUUGAGGCUGGUUUCUCAGGAAGUGCCAACCACUCUUUCUCCCAAAUUUCCCUUGGUGCCACUGUCAAAGGCAAAGUACUCAUCUAGAUGGAUUGUUGUUCUGACCCAAAAUGACAUUUCCAACUUUUCUUAUAUAUAAUCCAAUUUCUGAACUUCUUUUUCAGUGAUAUUAAGUGGAAUAGCAGAAAACAGUAUUUUGGCAUUAAAGAUAGUAAAUGUGUUCUGCAUUGGUCAGGUGUCCUUGCUCUUUGCCAAAUGCAUUAGCUGUAUUGAUUUUAGAAUUUUAAAUGGCCCUUUUUACCAGACUUGAUUAAUGUCUCAUCCUCCAAUCUUGGCUACCUGCUCCUUCCUUCUCUCAUACACAAUCUUCUUCCCUCUCAGACUGGCACGAGUUAGAGGCGGCUGACCUUCAUCGGACCAAGGGUCAGGAAAUGUCGUGAGCGGGGUCCCUCGGGCCUGGUGAUUAGCCUCUAAAGACAGGGGGCUGGUUGUGCAAGGGUCAAGCCUUCAGUGCUCGGCCCAGGCCCCGGAAACACUCACAGUGGACCUCCUGGUUUGCCGUACUAUGGAACCCCCUAAGGGUACUGCCGCCUGGAACGUAUAGCUUUGUGCACCCUCCCUGGGGCCCCACAGUAAGUGAUCACAGUAAGUGGCCGGGUCACACCUUCUUUAAGCCAGCUUUCUUGGACUGUGGACCUGAGGGCAUAACAGAUUGAAGAAACCCAGAGAUUUCUAACUGGUUAUCAAGUAAGUUUGCGCUGGCCAUUUCAGUUCAUUUGUCGGGAGCACUCAUAUUCUGAUUACAGGGGUUUUGUUUUCUUUGUGUCAUUUGGUCAGGAAUAUUGCUUCAUUCUUGCCAGAUACAAACUGUUAGAACUUUGAAGGGCUGUGGAAAUCAUCGUAUCUAGUGGUUUCCCAGUGGAUGGAUGUACAACACAAUUUUGCAAGGUGCAUAAGAAUAUGGAUUCCUUACUAAAUCGUAAUUUGGUGGUUGAGAAUUGGGAAUCUGCAUUUUAAAAAGCAUCCCUGUGUUCCGAUUCGGGUGGUGGACAGACCAUAAUCUGAAGUUACCAUUUGGUUAGUAGACCUUGCUGACUUUUUAGAGCUGAUAUUAGGUUUUCACCAUGUUCAGUCUUUUGCUUUUGAAAUUAAUUGAAUCUUGAGAUGACUUACUUCAGGAGGCAAAUAUUACAAUCACAAUUAUGUUCUGCAACAGGAAAUAAGCUCUAAAUGAAUCUUAACAUUUUACUUGACACAUUACUAUGUUUAAGUGUAUUAAAGAUGUCAUUGAAAGGUGUAGGGGAGGAAAAUGAACUUGAUUUGGCAGGUAGGUGUUCAUGGUACUAUUAUCCACAGCUGUCUCUGCUGAUUGACGGCACACACAUUACCUCCUCACAGGCAUUGUACUCACUUGCAUCAGAUUUAAGUGUAUGGCAUUGUUACUGAAUAUUUGAAACUGUUUUAGUUAAUAGUAUUAAUUGUACAUAGACCAACUUUCAGCCACUGUUUCAGAGUGCUUAAUAGAUAACAAACCAGAAGGUUCUGUGGAUCUCCACGUGAAAUAAACUUAGGUCUGCAAUACCAUUUGCUUAAGUCUUAGUAUUUUGAGUAAGGCAAAUAUUUUAUAGUUCGGAGAGGGAAUCUCCCCCCAUGUUAUAGGUAGGGAACUGAGACACUGAAAGGUGGAGUGGUCGAGGUCACUCAGCCACAAUUGUAUUCACAACUGGAGUUCAGAUCUCCUGGGUCCUUCCUCUCUGCUCUUUCUACUGUACCAAAUUGCCUUUUUUGCAUAGUUUCUACCUAAUGAGAAACACUCAGUCUAAUGGCUGGUAGAGAUGCUAUAAUCCAUUAUUUAUAUUACAAAGAGCAUCGAAGCAAGGAAUUCUACUCGAUAUUUUCUUUCGGAAAACCAAACAUGCUUUAUUUCAUUUUUUUCACAAUUUAUUUAAACAUCUCACAUAUACAAAAUAGUGUGUACAAUUUUUCUGCUUGUCCGAGAAACAAGGCUUCUUUUUGGUACCACGGGAGAGGAUGAAAAUGAGACUGGCAAAGAACAAAUGCUGAAUUUAAAGAAGAGGACAAGGUUGGGCAAGUAAUCUGCAUACUUUUAUUUGGGAACAAGAUGUAAAAUACUGAUGCUAAAUCAGAUGAAAAGAGAAUACACAAUACAACUCAUUACAGAGGAUUA